GACGAACGCUGACGGCGUGCCUAAUACAUGCAAGUCGAACGAACUCUGGUAUUGAUUGGUGCUUGCAUCAUGAUUUACAUUUGAGUGAGUGGCGAACUGGUGAGUAACACGUGGGAAACCUGCCCAGAAGCGGGGGAUAACACCUGGAAACAGAUGCUAAUACCGCAUAACAACUUGGACCGCAUGGUCCGAGCUUGAAAGAUGGCUUCAGCUAUCACUUUUGGAUGGUCCCGCGGCGUAUUAGCUAGAUGGUGGGGUAACGGCUCACCAUGGCAAUGAUACGUAGCCGACCUGAGAGGGUAAUCGGCCACAUUGGGACUGAGACACGGCCCAAACUCCUACGGGAGGCAGCAGUAGGGAAUCUUCCACAAUGGACGAAAGUCUGAUGGAGCAACGCCGCGUGAGUGAAGAAGGGUUUCGGCUCGUAAAACUCUGUUGUUAAAGAAGAACAUAUCUGAGAGUAACUGUUCAGGUAUUGACGGUAUUUAACCAGAAAGCCACGGCUAACUACGUGCCAGCAGCCGCGGUAAUACGUAGGUGGCAAGCGUUGUCCGGAUUUAUUGGGCGUAAAGCGAGCGCAGGCGGUUUUUUAAGUCUGAUGUGAAAGCCUUCGGCUCAACCGAAGAAGUGCAUCGGAAACUGGGAAACUUGAGUGCAGAAGAGGACAGUGGAACUCCAUGUGUAGCGGUGAAAUGCGUAGAUAUAUGGAAGAACACCAGUGGCGAAGGCGGCUGUCUGGUCUGUAACUGACGCUGAGGCUCGAAAGUAUGGGUAGCAAACAGGAUUAGAUACCCUGGUAGUCCAUACCGUAAACGAUGAAUGCUAAGUGUUGGAGGGUUUCCGCCCUUCAGUGCUGCACUAACGCAUUAAGCAUUCCGCCUGGGGAGUACGGCCGCAAGGCUGAAACUCAAAGGAAUUGACGGGGGCCCGCACAAGCGGUGGAGCAUGUGGUUUAAUUCGAAGCUACGCGAAGAACCUUACCAGGUCUUGACAUACUAUGCAAAUCUAAGAGAUUAGACGUUCCCUUCGGGGACAUGGAUACAGGUGGUGCAUGGUUGUCGUCAGCUCGUGUCGUGAGAUGUUGGGUUAAGUCCCGCAACGAGCGCAACCCUUAUUAUCAGUUGCCAGCAUUAAGUUGGGCACUCUGGUGAGACUGCCGGUGACAAACCGGAGGAAGGUGGGGAUGACGUCAAAUCAUCAUGCCCCUUAUGACCUGGGCUACACACGUGCUACAAUGGAUGGUACAACGAGUUGCGAACUCGCGAGAGUAAGCUAAUCUCUUAAAGCCAUUCUCAGUUCGGAUUGUAGGCUGCAACUCGCCUACAUGAAGUCGGAAUCGCUAGUAAUCGCGGAUCAGCAUGCCGCGGUGAAUACGUUCCCGGGCCUUGUACACACCGCCCGUCACACCAUGAGAGUUUGUAACACCCAAAGUCGGUGGGGUAACCUUUUAGGAACCAGCCGCCUAAGGUGGGACAGAUGAUUAGGGUGAAGUCGUAACAAGGUAGCCGUAG
rnacentral:rRNA from 1 species